ACCAGAAGCCCCUUUCCUACCAGGACAUCUAAUCCUGAGACAGCCACUCAGAACCCCCAUGAAUUUGGGUCCCACUUGAACCUGGAAAAAGCAAGCUCAGUAGGAGAGUGUUAAGGAGGCUGGCUCUGGCCAGCCAAGAGGGCAGAUCCAGAAAGCACAGGAGCCUGGCACUAUGUCAAGCCUUCCAGCAACCCCACGAGGUCCCUGUAGUGCAGCUGGCUCCUGAGUUGGCCCAGGUGAGGGCCACCCUCCCUGCCCAUCAGUCCUUGAUCAUGUGUAGGGAAGACCAGCUCAAGCCUGUCCCUGGGCAGGAUGUCCCCCUCGUGAGCUGGCCAGCCUCGCAGAACUAGGCCCGUGCGGGUGUCCAGGAGCACCAUGAAGCCCGAGGAGAAGCCGGCCACG